rnacentral:rRNA from 4 species
UUUCCGUAGGUGAACCUGCGGAAGGAUCAUUACCGAUGG